CCUACGGGUGGCAGCAGUGGGGAAUAUUGGACAAUGGGGGGAACCCUGAUCCAGCGACGCCGCGUGAGUGAAGAAGUAUUUCGGUAUGUAAAGCUCUAUCAGCAGGGAAGAAAGGAAUGACGGUACCUGACUAAGAAGCCCCGGCUAACUACGUGCCAGCAGCCGCGGUAAUACGUAGGGGGCAAGCGUUAGCCGGAUUUACUGGGUGUAAAGGGAGCGUAGACGGCAGUGCAAGUCUGGAGUGAAAGGCGGGGGCUCAACCCCAGGACUGCUCUGGAAACUGUACGGCUGGAGUGCAGGAGAGGUAAGUGGAAUUCCUAGUGUAGCGGUGAAAUGCGUAGAUAUUAGGAGGAACACCAGUGGCGAAGGCGGCUUACUGGACUGUAACUGACGUUGAGGCUCGAAAGCGUGGGGAGCAAACAGGAUUAGAUACCCCAGUAGUC
rnacentral:rRNA from 1 species